GCAGGCCUUUGCGGACGCUACCUGGAACUCCGCUGGCGCUGGAACUGCAAUUCCCAGCAGGCUUCAGCAAAAGCGGACCUGGAACCCCGCUGGGGCAGGAACUACAGUUCGCUGAAGGCCACGGCGGAAGUGGCCUCCACUGCCGGUGGCACCGGAACCACAAUUCCCAGCAGGCCUCAGCGGAAGCGCACAGUUCGGCGUCCCUCCGGGAGUGUAUCCCGCGGAACGCAGUGAGUUAGGGCAGCCGUCCGCGGCAUGAGCCCCUCCACAGCACUUCCGGUUUGUCCACCCUCCGCCCAUCUAGCGCCCAGACUAGCGGAAGUCGGUGACUGUGCAGGUGCCUCAGGGAGUCGCAGUAACAGGUUCGAGUUCCUUGGUCCGCUGUGAUGUCAGAAUCCCGGAAGUGGGCGGGGUCAGCCGUGCCAGACGCUGGAACCUCCAGGACGGGCCCUCACGAUGGACUCCAGAUGUGCAAACACAGGCGGGACACACAGCUCCCGUAGCUCCUCCAGAGAAUCCAGGUUCAAGCCCCGGCACACCCACACGGCGGCUCAUGGGUGCGUGUUAUUGCGAGAGCUGACGUCUUCACAGAUGCUCACCCUGGAUAAAUACCGACAAAUUAAAAUGAAUAAAUUACUUUUAAAAAAGGA